GCCCAGCAUUCCACCGGACGAGCUCAGUCAUGGCUCUUUCAAGCGACACGACAAGGGGUGAUGUCACCACGCUCAGGGCUCCAGUAUUUCACCAGUAACCUCAUCUCACCGCUGGUCGGCGACCACUUCCCGAAGACCACGAAGCAGCAGGCCAAGCAACGUCGGGAAAUCUGUGGACAGCACACAGGGAGGAGACAGAAGGCAGAGGUCAUACAAGACCCCAGUCGCCCCACUGACACGUAGCGACACAGUGUUGAUUUUAAAGAAACGAAUGAAGAGAAAACACCCACUCAAAUUGUGCUGGUGUAGAGGACCAUUCAAGCACUGCGAUUUUACUUAAAAGGACGAAUAAAAAGAAACAUGUACUGAA
rnacentral:lncRNA from 1 species